CUAGCGGCACGGCUCCUCCCAUAGAGCAUGUUUGGUAGCCGUUAGACAUGUUGCAGUUUUAGUUUCUACGGAAACGACAUGUUGAUCUAUUGCGCAUUCUUUGAGUAGUAACUACAACGCUUCUUUCAAAUGGGGCCCCAGUGUUGAACUCGUGUUCGCUGCACAAAUCGACGUUUAAGAAAGCAAUGGAAUAACAGAAGGCACAAUCAUCUGAUUCGACGAUUGCUUGAGAGCUAAAUCUAUUAUGUGUGCUGAUGGUUUGAGGGUAAAUGAGGGAAUAUACAGCUAACAAAAGCUAGGUCUCAGUUGGAUGAAGCUACAGAUAUCAUGUAUGUGCAUAUGUGCAUGGUAGCUGACAUAGGAAGUGGCUGCAUCACAACUCGUACUUUACUUUUUGUGUGUGGCCAUUCAAGCACCACAGAUAUGAACACAGACAACAAGACUGUUGUACUCGACAAGAACAAAGAUGGAUUCAUGCAUGUUGCAAUAAGUAGUAUAUAUCUAUAAUCAGAAAUAAUUACAAACGAUAGUCAAAUCGUAGAUUGUUCUUGUUCUGUACUGGUGCUAAACUGCAGUUGGUUACAUUUUAUAUAUAACAGACCAUUUCUAAUUACUGCAUAGCACUAGGAUUUCAUACAAGUUGAUUUUCGCUCAGUUAGUGUAAUAAAUGAAAAGGUGAAAACGAAAUGUACUGUACAUGAUCAGAACGGAUUCCGAGGCUGUUCAUGAAGCGUUGCGAUCACGUGUCAGUUCGCGCGCGAAUUGCUUUCCGGUCUGAAUUAAUUAGCUCCCUGGACGUCAGUUCAGUGAAGCCGCUGAAGUAUCCUAGUCACUUCCGUGUUUACAAUUUGAAUGAAAGAGGAAUCUGAUCUUUG